rnacentral:rRNA from 1 species
CCUACGGGGUGCAGCAGUGAGGAAUAUUGGUCAAUGGCCGAGAGGCUGAACCAGCCAAGUCGCGUGAGGGAAGAAUGUCCUAAGGAUUGUAAACCUCUUUUGUCGGGGAGCAAAAAGGCUCUGCGGAGUCGUAUUGAGAGUACCCGAAGAAAAAGCAUCGGCUAACUCCGUGCCAGCAGCCGCGGUAAUACGGAGGAUGCGAGCGUUAUCCGGAUUUAUUGGGUUUAAAGGGUGCGUAGGCGGAAUAUCAAGUCAGCGGUAAAAAUUCGGGGCUCAACCCCGUCGUGCCGUUGAAACUGAUGUUCUUGAGUGGGCGAGAAGUAUGCGGAAUGCGUGGUGUAGCGGUGAAAUGCAUAGAUAUCACGCAGAACUCCGAUUGCGAAGGCAGCAUACCGGCGCCCAACUGACGCUGAAGCACGAAAGCGUGGGUAUCGAACAGGAUUAGAUACCCCUGUAGUC